rnacentral:rRNA from 1 species
UACGUAGGGGGCAAGCGUUGUCCGGAAUCAUUGGGCGUAAAGCGCGUGUAGGCGGUUCGGUAAGUCGGCUGUGAAAGUCCAGGGCUCAACCCUGGGAUGCCGGUCGAUACUGCCGGACUAGAGUUCGGAAGAGGAGAAUAGAAUUCCUGGUGUAGCGGUGAAAUGCGCAGAUAUCAGGAAGAACACCCGUGGCGAAGGCGGUUCUCUGGGACGGUACUGACGCUGAGACGCGAAAGCGUGGGGAGCGAACAGG